rnacentral:rRNA from 1 species
UGGCGACCGGCGCACGGGUGAGCAACGCGUAUCCAACCUGCCCUUUACUAUGGGACAGCCCGUCGAAAGGCGGAUUAAUACCGUAUGUUGUCAUGUUGAUGCAUAUUUUCAUGACCAAAGGCUUCGGCCGGUAAAGGAUGGGGAUGCGUCUGAUUAGCUUGCCGGCGGGGUAACGGCCCACCGGGGCGACGAUCAGUAGGGGUUCUGAGAGGAAGGUCCCCCACAUUGGAACUGAGACACGGACCAAACUCCUACGGAAGGCAGCAG